ACACUCCCUCCGACCAGUAGAAAGCCUCGGAUGGGGGGGCUAGUAGUCGGUGGUGUGUCAUAGUGUGUGAGGGUUGCGUAGGAGAUUGUGAAUCUUGUGCACAUUGGAAACAAGUUACAGUGGAUGUGAGCAUAUGUGAACUCUUCUUACUGUACUGUGAUGGUUGAAGUCUGGUAUGCAUCAAGAGGGCCUAAACAACCUUGUGACUGCUCUUCUAUCAGCGCCUCAGUAGGAUCACCAAAUAUACUGAGAGUAGAAGAGUCAAAAACAUACAGCAGGAAGGAUUUCAACUUUCUGACAGAUGCUCUUUUUACCCUAAUAAGAGCCACAUCAUAUGCAAAAUAUUUGGUUCUUCUGCUACAGCCAUGACCUUCUUAAGUGGAAAAAUGGAAAACUCUUUGUCAAUGCAAGCAAAUCCAUGCUCAGAUGGAGUGGCCCCUUGUGAUGGUGAGAUGGGGGAUAGAAGCAUUCUUGACAUUCUUUGAAGACAGGAAAACCACACAUAGGUUCAACAGGUUAUGUGGUGAAAUACACCUCCAGGGGGAGAGGCAGAAAAAAGAAAAUGUGCCACUUACAAGUCCUACUGAAGCACUAUUUUGAUGAUCUGAAUAGAACAUAGGUCUUGUGCUGGGGUGGAUUUUAUUAUUCUGUAAAUAAUGCUUCCAUUACAAAUAGAUGCAUUUGUACUGCACACCCACACACAUGCUGAAAAUGAGAAAACAGCAAAUGACAACAUUGCUGCAAGCAAGGAAGAGGUAAUGGCUUAGAGGUUAAGCUAAAUGUGAUCUUUCUCUUCUCCCUGGAUUGAAAGGUGUCUUUAAUCCCAAAUCCUGAUCAUCCACAGAACUGAAAGGCUGUGCACCCAUCACUCUGUGUUCAUAUGCAUCCCUGCUACUGGACGAACUAAAGAACUACAAUUCUAGAAGGGGAAUCUCACAAAGUUUUCAAACCAAUCUCAUCUCAAUGGAGAAGUAGGGCUACAUGAAGGAAAGCAGGGCUUGAAAGGACCUCAGGACUAGGGGCAGACAUUCAAAAAGCCUAAACCUGAAUUGAGUCAAUCUUUGCAGGUUAAUCUAACAUUGGUAAGCUAAAUCAGUUUUGUAACCAGACAGAUAUCCCAAAAAUACAGGCAUAUGCCUGCAGUGGCUCAGGCUAGAAGCCACAGGGUGCUGAAGCAGCCCUCCCUGCCCUUGCACAAAGAUGAGCAGAGGGGGACAUGGCUAGGCCCCAACAGGAUGCUGUGAUUAGGUAGGGGUUCCCUCCCAUCCUGAACAGCCCAGCAGGGAAUGUUUAUCACCCCUAACUCAGUGUUUAUCAUGCCAUUAAGAAAAGAGAGGGCCACUACCAGCUAUCUGUUGAUUCUGCCUUUGUCCUGUGUGCCACAGCUCGGAGGUAGCCAGCUGUGAUCUGCUAGCUAAUGCUGAGAGGUGUCUGUGAGGGACGGGGAAUGCCUGCUUAGCAGAGAGUGGGGAGGGGAGGGUGGGGAGCAGGAAGACACUGCUGUUGCCUGCAAGUCUCUGCGGAAGCUACAACCAGGGAGCAGAGGGGAGGGGCCAGCUGUGCUGUGGAGCAAAGAGCCCCACCCAGCCCAGAAAGCAUGCCGGGAUGCCGGGGGAGUCUGGUUUAUCUUAAACCAGCAAGGGGUCUGACAUUGCAUAAACCAGUUUGAGUCAAAUCAGUUAAGUCUGAUACGCCAUUCAACCAGGUUUAUCUCAAACCGGUUUCAGCCAUUUUCAAACUGGUUUAUGUCCACUGAACACCUUUUCUGUUACAGAUUUAAACCAGUUUCAGAUCACUUAAACUGUUUUAUGUGUAAUGUCUGUUAGGGCUGUGCGAAACAGCACUGUUCCGCUUCGGCUUCAGUUUCGAUGGAGCAGCGUUUCAUUUUGAGUUUCAUUUCAUUUUGUUGCAACUGUUUUACUGUUUCGACAUUCGGCUGCUACGUUUCGCCCAUAGGCUAUAAUGGGAAAGCAUGAAACUGCCUAUAAUUUUGUCAUUUCUAGCCUGAUUCAGAUGAAACUUGCAGGGAUGGUAGCCCUGUUGGAGGGCGUGAAGCCUGCCAAGUUUAAAGGAGAUAGGUGCAGAAGUUCCUGGGAAGCUGCACCUCAAGGUGUUGAUAAACAAAACUGUCACUUCCUGGGGGCGGCAGGCUCCUGUCAUCCGGCAAGCAGAUCCAGGAGCCUGCACCCCCGGGAGGGCUGCAGGGCUCUGCCAGACUCCUCCCAGGUGUGCGAGAGGCCCCCGAUCUGCCUUCCACAUCACAGGAGGCUGCUCCUAGGACCAACACUGGGCGCAGCCCUCACCCAGCGCCGGGAAGAUUGAUGCUAUCACCCAUCCGAGGUGGCAGGAGCAGC